rnacentral:lncRNA from 1 species
GACAUCUCUGCUCAUGCAACUGCACCUGCAGAAGUAUUUUUAGGGGAGGUACAAAGUGUUACUCCCCUCUCCCCAGGCACAGGGACGUGUGUCCUGGCAGUCCUUCAUCCCAUGGCCUGACCCAGCCACAUAACUGGGCAGUGCUGUCACAUGGAGCUGGAAAUAUAAACGUGGGGACGAGUCAGGGGCAGAUUGGCUGUUUGCAAGGUGGCACCUGGCUCAGAGAGAGGAAACUGGACCUCACACCCUGACAGGGAUGGUGAUCCAGGGAGGAUGAGCGAGCAUCACCCAGGAGAGGCACCCUCACACCCCUCCCAGGUUUUACACAGCCCUGGUCACGGGAGACCUGAGGAGCCUCGAGGUCCUGACUGACCGAUACCAUCAAGAUGUCAACCUGGUUUUUGAGAUCAGUAAAAAUGAGCUGGAGUGGCAGGUGAAAAGCCAAGCGUCUUAUGGACUCUCAGGUUGGGAUUAGACACUCUGUGGCUUGGGAAUGUUUGCAAGAGGGGUCACAGCCCAAAUUCCUCAUGGAGGGGCUCAGGAAGAGCAGCCUGGUCCUAUGGGGGAGGAAUAAGAUGUUUCCAGGUUAGUGGUACCUGGUGCCUUCCCCGCUGAGGUGCUGCUCAAAGUCCCAGGUGCUCCCAGAGCACCAUGCUCAGUAGAUUACUGAUGGUCCCAGAGGUCCUGGAGCUGAUGGGAAAUGCAACACCUCACUCUAGCUGUGCCCAAACCC